UUUGGUGACUUUGGCGGCGGGGUCCACCUCUUUCCUUUCCGAACAGAGAAGUUAAGCCCGCCUGCGCUGAUGGUACUGCCCCUGGGUGGGAGAGUAAGUCGUUGCCUUCC
rnacentral:rRNA from 1 species